ACAUUGUUUUUUUUUUUUAACGCUGAUUUAUUAUGGCAUUACAAUUAUGAGAAAUAUUACAUAGACGAUUUGACAACCGAUAAUACUACUUGUCUUAUGAUGAUCUACGCCUAACUGCAUCACCUGAGCCGUCCUAUGAAGAUCCACGCCUGACUGGAUUUACUUGCACAAUGUUGAAGAUCCCUUGUAAGUCUUUCUUCCGUAGUCUGCAGUAAUAAAUCGCUCCCUCCGGGACUUGAAACCUGGAUUUCCUGUAUUCUGCAAUAAAUUUCAUAGUCUGGGAUUCGAACCCCAGACCUGGGUGUAGAAGCCUUUAAACCUUAACCAUUAGGC
rnacentral:lncRNA from 1 species